UGCUGUUUUCCAUACAAUCAAGUGGGAAGUUAAAGAUUUUUAGGAGACCCAUCUGAGAUGAAGCUAUGAAAGAGCAACAUCUGAGCAACUCAAGAACCCUAAACUGCAAAUAUGGUUCCUGAUAAGAAGAAAUAUGGUGCUGCAGAGAACCGAAAAUAACCUUUAUAAAGCGUAGCACAGUAUGGAAAGAUUAUCCAGAGCCUUUUUAUAAAUGGAGGAAAAUGACAGCUCCUGCCCAUCAUGUAUGGCUUUGUUCUGCAUGUCUCUGGUGGAUUCUGCUGCCUACUGGAGAACUCCUGCCACAUGCUCUCACACACCAGAGACAGAGGACUAAGCCCUUUCUCUUCACUGCAGUGUGUUUGCCAGCAUCCAUGUUUAAUACAGUGUAGUCAGCUCUGGAAAUAUCACCCUGCUGAUC